rnacentral:rRNA from 1 species
CCCUUAGAUGUUCUGGGCCGCACGCGCGCUACACAGAUUCAUGCAACAAGUUUUGUCCUUGGCUGAUAGGCCUGGGUAAUCUUUGAACGUGAAUCGUGAUGGGGAUAGAUGAUUGCAAUUAUUCAUCUUCAACGAGGAAUUCCUAGUAAACGCAAGUCAUCAGCUUGCAUUGAUUACGUCCCUGCCCUUUGUACACACCGCCCGUCGCACCUACCGAUUGAAUGGUCCGGUGAAAUCUUCGGAUCUGAGAGAUGUCUGAUUAAUUUCGGACGCCUUUUGGAAAAGUUGUUUAAACCUUACCAUUUAGAGGAAGGUGAAGUCGUAACA